rnacentral:lncRNA from 1 species
GCCUACACUUUUUUGCAAGAAAGUCACAGUGCCACGUGUGCUUGCUGAUUCAAUCUGGGAGGAGGACAGAGGUUUUCUCAUUCUGAUCAACAUCUCCAAGCUUGGGCUCAGUCUGCCAAUAUCUCCUGCCUCAUGAGUGAUAGCACUGCAGAGUGGAAUGGAUCACAUUCAAAAAGCUGGUCUGUACAAGCGUUUUAAGCUCUGUUCGUCCCUUUUUGGAGGACCUGUUGACUGUCAUUAUAUGCUGCACUGAAAGAACUACUCAAGAAGCCUUAUUCUCCGUUGGACCCAAAAGUAAUGAAAGAACGAUGGAUUCAUUGCAACUCCACAGGGUCAGUGCAACGUACCAGCACAUAAUGAGUUACAGUGUUUCGGCAGUCCUACAGAAUAUCACGGAAUAAAUCUAUUAUAGUUCCUUGUUUGCUGCUGAGAUAAGGAGCUGCGGAGAGCUGUGCUCUGGAAGAAGACUCUGUAGGGGAAAAAAGGUAAAUUAGGACCAAGCUAUUGAAUAUGCACUGUCACACUGUAUAUGGUUGUAAACUUGGCUUUCCAAGACCAAGGCAAUCUGAUUAAGCACGUUAUGCCAUGAGAGAGUCAUAAAGGUGCUUUUUUUCAAGUAGCAGCUCAACGUCAUAUAGUGAGGCCCAUUUCUUGAUGUUAUUAAUGUCUUUAUUGUAUUAUAUAUAGCAUAUGUCAUCUACAACUUUUUUAUGAUCUCAGAAUAUGGAUUGUAGAAUGCACCCUAAAACUGCAUAUGCCCGUAGGCUCAUAGAAAAUUUUAGGUGCAAAUGUAAGCUCAAAGCAGACUCCACUUCUUGUCCAGCAGCAUCCUAAGGUUCUUGUCAGCAGAGCUGCUUCCCAGCUUGUCCUAGCCUUUGCACACUUCAGCAUCAUACAGAAAUUGCCAACUCCUGGACCUAGACACCCAAUACAUACUAAAGUCAAACUACACGAAAGGCACUGCUCUUCUCUCAUUCAGCUAAUACAUGGCAGCAGAGAGAAGAUGUAAGAAUGUUG